GUGUGUGUGUGUGUGUGUGUGUGUGUGUCUACCACACACCUCCAGGGGUCAGUGUUACUAAAUAAUCAGCAGUUAAUCUGCGCAGACCGGACACGUGGUGCAGUGGAAGCGCUUUGGCAUCUGUGCAUGUGCGUAAGAAAGAGGGUGAUUGAAAAAGAUCAGAUUCUUCUAUUGUCACUGCACAAAAUUUACUUGUGAUGAAGAAAACCUCGCUGAGACGACAUGAGGAACAAACCUUGAGAGGACCCAGGUCUCAAAAUGGAACGUGUCUAUUCUGUGUGCUGCCACUCAAGCUGUUUCAAAAAACUGAUAUUGAUACAGUUGGAAUUCAUUUGAUUUCAAUAACCCCACCUCUAACCCCAACAUUCGACACCCCCCCAUCAAAGAAAGAAGCGGUAAGAAAGGCUACAACGAAUAACCCCACCUCUAACCCCAACCUUCUACCCCCACCUCAGGUCAAAGAAAGAAGUCGUAAGAAAAGCUACAACCAAUAACCCCAACUCGGAUUUUCUCCCUAAUUUACUCUUGCCCAAUUCUCACCCACCAGUUAAUUCUCUCCUAUCAUAGUACACUUACCAACCUGAGAGGGAAAAGACUAUCACAUGCUUCCUCUGACUAACGUCAAGCCAGUCAACCGCAUCCUUUCAGACUGAUGCUAAUGCUGCAUCGUAACACACUCUGAGGAAGGCACUCUGUCCUCUUCCCCAUACAUGACCUCAUAGAUGCGCACUCUUGGCUAAUGUCACUGUGAUUGACAGGGAAGUCAGUUUGCUCCUGCCACCCAGAGAGCAUAGCAGCGGCAUCGUCGGAAUUCAAACUCGCUAUCUCCAAAGGUUUUCCAUUCACUUGAGAACCACCUCAAUCUUCUUAACCACUCCACCCCUCCAAAAAAAACAAAACAAACCCUAGCAAUACGCCAUUUUUACACCGCAAAGUUCCCUUUGUGGAUUAACAUAAAGCCUAUAAAGUAAUAAACACAGUAUCGCUAUUUAGAAACAUACAUAUGCAAUGUAUACAAUAACUCCCCCUUCGUCUUUCCUCGGCUUCUGUCAGCUUCUUACUCUGAGUCUGUAUUUCCCAAAUCUACAGCUCCACCAGCACCCCGUCUCCCCAGCAGAGCUAAAGAUAGAGGCGGGAGUGAAGAAUCCUGAUUACUCCACACUCUCCAGACAUUAUUAGGCAAUAUGUGCAAUUAAUUGAAUUGUGGGGCUGACGGUGCAUGGGGCACCAAAGGCAGCGUUUCUCAUUAGCCUCAGUGCAUUCCCUCCGUCACCUAACGAACAAUAACGGAGCUCUCAAACACAAAUGCCAUUAUGGAGAUACCGUGCAAGCACCUCGCACCAUAAUUGGCUGGAUUGCUAUCAUUAAAAAGGGGAGGGAUUUAGUCAGAAAGCAAUAAGCAGCAGUUAUAUAAAGAACGUAUGCGAUCCUGUUAUGCUCAGACUCAGGUGAGGGGAAAAGAAUAUGUCUACGAUGAAGCGAAUGAAAUGACUGCGACCGAGAUGCACAUUUCCAUUAGAUCUUCAGUCUACUUCAGAGCGAGAUCUUCUUGUCUAAUACUCUUGAGUGUUUUGCUUAGACGACAGUCUUUACUCUGACUUUGUUACGCCCUCGAACGUUGCAAUACCCAAUUACAACUUGACUUGAGCUGUUAACACGGGCAGGAAUUUAGCAGCUUGUCUCGUCUCGCACGUCCCCAUGAGAAGCGUCUACAACUGCUGCUCGAGUCUGUCUGAGUCACGUCCAGGGCCGCGCAAACAGCUGCUGUUAUUUACUUUAAUCUAGCUGGGAAAAAAAAACAAAAAAAAAAACGCCGAUGUGUCUGGAAUAUCAAAGAAUCAAUAAGACCAACAAGUGUCACAUGCUUCCUUAUUCUUAUUCGCAUUCUCAUUUUUGGCUCAAUGAAUCAUGAAGAUGUCUUUCACUAUGACACACGCAGCAUAAAAUAUUAUCCAUCCAUCCUAUCCAUUUUCUGUACCGCUUAUCCUACACAGGGUUGCGGGAAGCCUGGAGCCUAUCCCAGGGGACUUGGAGCACAAGGGGGGACGGGGGACACCCUGGACGGGGUAGGUGAAUAUUACUUUAAUUGUAAUUUGUAUACAGUAUACAAGUUUGAAAAGUCUUACAGAUAAUGAGCAUUUCCUAAAAGGGUCUCCUAAAGAUUUCCUAGAGUUUCAGUUCAGAUCACACACUUAUGACAAGGGACCAUGUUAUCCAACUUCUAUCGUGUUACAUAUGUGAACCCAGUUUUCCAUAAACUUUAAAAAGGUCAUCAUACUUGGUAGAGAAAGUAUUCAAUGUGAAUAUACUCAGCUUAUACCGACAAUAACGGAUCUUUGUAGAUGCUGUGUACAUUUCUGCUGAAAACCUGAAAUAUUUAAGAGAGGAGUGAGAAUUAGUUGGGGAAGGUACUAUGCUGAGGGCCUAGGGCCUUAUGGCAAUGUCUUAAGGCUAGCAUCGCAUGUCUCAGACAUCCUCAUUCACCUGACUGACAGCCUGUGCUAACUUUCCUCACUGCCCCCGAUUUUCUCCAGCGCAACGAGAGCCUCGUUAAGUCACCGCUGUUUUUCGCUCGUCUGUCGCUCUGGGAAUUCGGCUAUCCGGGCUUCCUGUAGGCUUCCUAUUGCACUCUCUUGCCUAAAAAUACAGGAGUUCAACUGGAGUUCAUGUUAAAGUUACUCUUUAAAAUCUAGGGUUUACAUUCACUUG
ensembl:lncRNA